rnacentral:tRNA from 1 species
UGGGUUGUAGCUCAGUGGUAGAGCACUUGCCUUGUGCGUGUGAGGCCCUGGGUUCAACCCUCAGCACCACAU